UCUUCAUAGAGUUAAAAAUUUUACAAAAAUCUAGGGUUUCUCACUAUCUCUUCAGCUUCCAUGGAGAAAUCCGAGCUUCAAAGAAGAGGUGAGCGCAGACUUCCACCAUCACCAAAGGUAGCACCAUGGCUUGUUUUCCCACAUGGUAAAGAUGGUAAGUUCCAAACUUUCUAUAACUUAGGUGAUGAUAAUCAUCAAUUAAACAAGAGAAAUUCAAACAAAUUUAUACCAGAAUUAAGUAAAAGAAGAUUUUUGGCAGAAAUCUUGUCAUAAAGGGUGGGUAGUCAUUGUUUGUGAGGAUGAUGAUACUCAUCCUAAUUAUGGAGAUUGUUCACUUUGGAAUCCCCAAUCACUAGAAACCGUUCACUUACCUUGUUUGCCCAAAAAUGUUAUUAGUAAAUUUUGGAUUGGAGAUUGUCUUUUGACUUCGCCUCCCCAGACCAGCAUUAGCAGCAGCAGCAAUAGUAGUGACAAUGAUGAUGAUUCCAUGGUUUAUUUACUUUUUAAAUGUCCUGGUGUUACUCCUGACUGUUUUGUAUUUUGUCACCCUGGUGAAAAACAAUGGAGAAAACAUGAGUUUGAAUUAUACCAAUCUUCUGAAGCAAUGCUAUAUCUCAAAAGUAAGUUACAUGUAAUGUGUUGGAAUGGUGUCUACCUGGAGAUAGAAAUACAGCGUGGGUCUGAUAUCCAUGAUGAAGAAACCCUUGCAGUAAGUAAAGUUUUUGUUAGAUUAGAUAGCCUUCCUGGUGGAGGUUGUGCUUUUAGACGGUAUUAUGUGGAGUCUUUUGGUGAGAUCUUCCGAAUAUGUAUGUCUUCCAUUAAGAGAGGGAUUUAUUCCAACGAAUGCAAAAUUGGAAUCGUAAAAUUGGAUUUCUCUUCAAUGGCUUGGGUGGAUGUGGAAAAUCUGGACCAUGUCUUAUUUAUAAGCUGCCGUACUCAGUUGUCUUGCUUGGCCUUAGACUCGGGAUUUUCAAAAGGUUGUGUGUAUUAUACACAGUACAAAGAAAUGAGCUUGUACAAAUAUGACUUGGAAGAUCAAAGUAUUUCACUUUCUUUACCAUGUACUGAUCUGCCGACACCAUGGUUCUUGCCUAACUGGAUGAUUAUUACUACACCUCCAAGGGUUGAUGAUAGAAGAACAGCAGACUGUAAAUUAGGAAAGGUCGAACACAUGGAUGAAGUUAUAAAGGUAAUGGAAAACAUAGCUGGUGUUGCUAGGGAUGAUGAGACAGAAGAUAUCAAAGAAGUAAGACAGGAGAUCAUGCCUAACGAUGAUUUGAUAUGGUCCGUAUCAAACUAUCUUCAUACAUUGGAUUACAUACAUUUACGUGCAGUGAGUAAACUAUACCGUGCUACGAUGAACCUCAGAAGACCCUCUUCUACUAGAACUUUCCAGACGACAGAUUUAUGCCCAUGGCAAGUUUUCUCUAACUAUGAUAGCUCCGUCCACCAUUUCAUAAACCCAAUGCAUAAUAAUGAGAUAUACCUCGUGAGUAUUCCUGAAAUGGUAAAAGGUUCUGGAAUUCGCUUUUCGAAAGGUGGGUGGUUGCUCAUGUUGAAAGGCCUGACAUUGCUCUUCCACAAUCCCUUCACGAGAUCGAGUAUCAAACUUCCAGACUUGCCAGAUAACGGCCAUUUCUCAGGUAUCUCAUUCUCUUCCUUGCCGACUUCUGCAGACUGUAGUUUUUGCCUUCCAUAAACCAAUGAAUGCUAGUGUGUCCAUCUUCUUCAUUAAACGUGGAGAAGAACACUGGAGGUAUAAUUCCUUUGAUGGCACUUACUUACCUCCCAAUAAGAAACCCAUGGAAUUCGACACGGAUUUGAACAAUCCAGUUUAUUACAAUGGAGCAUUCUAUUGCUUAGAUCUAAAUGGAACUUUAGGAGUAUUUAAACAAGAGAAUGACAAUAUAAGUUGGGAAGUUUUAGCCAUUGUAACCCCGCAUAAUUGUGAGUUUAUCUAUAAGAGUUACUUGGUGGAGUGCGAAGGAAAACUUUUGUGUGUGUUAUUGGGCCAUUUGGGAAAAUGGGUUCGUGUUUUUAGAUUGAACUGCACUCAAACGGUUUGGGUUGAAGUUAAAGAUCUGGGGAGGCAUAUGUUGUGUGUUAGCAAUACAUCUUCUAUCUCAGCAGUUGCUCCGGUUAGUGAAAUGGAGAACAAAAUCUACUUUCCGAGGUUGCAUAAAGAUGGGAUUUUAUUCUAUUCCCUUGAUACAGGUAUGUAUCACUGUGUUGGUAACACUAGUCAUUCUGCUAAAGAUUAUCGCGAUACAAAGGCGAAGUUGCACUGCAGUUGGAUUGAACCCAACUGGUCAGAGACCUCAGAUCAGUUUCUCGACUGGCUUAGUAUUUAGUUGGUUAUUACGUCCGUCUAACACACUCAAGGUCUUCUGUUUGACCCUGGCUGAAGCCGAAUUUUGUUCUUCUGGGAAAAAAAAGUAUAAAUUUAGAUAAAUUCUUAGCGUGUAAUUUUUAUUUUUAUCUUUCUGUGAACCAGUAUUCUGUAUUUUGUUGCCGUAAACUUUAAAGGUUGGAGAUGCAGGAACUUUUCAGAGUGCUGAAAAUCAUCUAAAAUAUUGUGCAAACCAGAAGCCCUAUCUCUGGGACAUAUUCCCCCACAGUGUGGGUACACUUGCCAUUGAGUGAUGAAAAAACCUGGGGGUGCCCCCAGAUAAAAGAGGAAGGUGCUAUAACAGAUUCUGUACCGUUACGUUAGGUCGUCAUCCUCCUGAUUAAUGAGUGAGGAAGGAAGAGACUGGUUUUAGCGUACGAACACUCAAAUUAGGUGAUUUCAGGGUUCAAGUACAAAUGCAGUUAAUUGAUGGAGAUGAUAUGAAUAUGAAAGAGAAAACGAAGAGAAAGCAACCAAUUAGAAUCCUCUUUGUUACACAGAUAAGAAGAAUCAAUGGGUUGUUGGUUGCUAUAAUGAUCCCCAGUUUUCACUCUAUAAACCCUCUGUAAGUACGGUCUUAUUUUUUAAAAGAAAAACAAAAACCCGUCAGUUAUUUGAGGUUCUUUAUAAUUCAAAACUUAGGGUUUCAUUUUCUAUCAGAGAUUCAAAAAAAGAGAAACAGAGUAGAGUGAAAGAAAGGUGUUUUGUUCUUUGAGUUUUGUUUAUUGGAAUGGAGAAUUUUGUUAAUCCAGACAGAAAACGCCAUUUCUACAAGGUCUUACUUAAAGAAGAUGAAACCAGAAUGCGGAUUCCCGAGACGUUCUAUCCCAGAAUAUCCAGAGAAGCUCAAUCAUCUGAAUGGGCACUUGUUCAGGGUCUUGGUGGAGCACAUUGGGUGACUAAAGUGAACAAAACUCAGGAUGGCAUCUACCUCGAGGAAGGCUGGGAAGUUUUUCUACAAGAAAAUGGCUUACAAAUGUAUGAUUACUUAGUUUUUAGGUACCAUGGAUGCAUGCAGUUCUCUGUGAAGGUUUUCACUAUAUCCGGGGGGAUUCCACAGAAAGAAUGUUUGGCUCCCGUUCGUGCUUCUCCGUUACCAGAAGAAGGAGAAGAAUCAGAUGAAGACGAUGGGGAUGUUGCCCGUGCAAAUGGAAUAGUACGUAGAUUCGCAUCCAGGCCCGGUUCUCGUUUCUUCAAUGUUACUGUGCAGCCAUCGUAUCUGAAGUGCAAUUAUCUGCCAAUUCCAUGGGGUGUCAGAAGAGAGCACUUCCACGACGGCUUGAAAAAAGUAACAAUUGUAAAUUCUGAUGCUUCUGAUACUCGAGCAUGGAGGAUUAAAAUUCUCCGGUUACAGAAAGACAUCAGGUUAAGUAGAGGUGUUGCUGACUUUGCAAACAAGAAAAAUGGUCUGAACUUGAAGGUAGGAGAUGUAUGCCAUUUUAAAAUCGUUAAGAAGAGAUCACACCAGCUCGUGUUACAGGUUCAGGUUUUCCACGAUUGAUGUAGGAGUAUGGAUAUCCUUUAUAAUAUGUAUUUGCUUCCUUAAGGCGCCCUGGUUGUUGUUAUCAGUACUUUAUUUACGUAGUAUCCAAAAAAACUGCUAGUUGUAAUCUCUUAAUUACGUAUACUUUGCUUUUUUAUGAGGCUUCAAACUGCUUUACUUCGCUAAGUAUCAGAAAAAAUUCUAGGUUUUUCUUUUCA